UGAGGAAUAUUGGACAAUGGGGGCAACCCUGAUCCAGCCAUGCCGCGUGAGUGAAGAAGGCCUUCGGGUUGUAAAGCUCUUUCAAUGGUGAAGAUAAUGACGGUAGCCAUAGAAGAAGCCCCGGCUAAAUUCGUGCCAGCAGCCGCGGUAAUACGAAUGGGGCAAGCGUUGUUCGGAAUCACUGGGCUUAAAGCGUGCGUAGGCGGACAUGAAAGUCAGAAGUGAAAUCCCUGGGCUUAACCCAGGAACUGCUUUUGAAACUCCAUGUCUGGAAUCCGGUAGAGGUCAGGAGAAUUCCUAGUGUAGAGGUGAAAUUCGCAGAUAUUAGGAGGAAUACCAGUGGCGUAGGCGCCUGACUGGGCCGGUAUUGACGCUGAGGUACGAAAGCGUGGGGAGCAAACAGGAUUAGAUACCCCCGUAGUCC
rnacentral:rRNA from 1 species